UAGUGGUCUUUGUAAGAGUGUAGAAGCAUUCCUUCUUUGAUAAUGUUAAAUUUGUAAGUUUCAGGUGACAUGUGAAACCUUUUUUAAGAUUUUUCUCAAAGUUUUGAAAAGCUAUUAGCCAGGAUCAUGGUGUAAUAAGACAUAACGUUUUUCCUUUAAAAAAUUUAAGUGCGUGUGUAGAGUUAAGAAGCUGUUGUACAUUUAUGAUUUAAUAAAAUAAUUCUAAAGGAAAUUGUGUAAUUAUAGACUUUUUAUUUUAAAUAAGUUAAGGAGGGGGUAGUAUAAUUAAGGUCCGUUGCAAAGUUGUUGUAUAUUUGUAUAAGAUAAAUGCUGGUCAGAUAUAAGUGUGUUGUCUGCAAUUCAUCAGGAUUAAAUUAUGUAGUUAACUUAAGGGAUAUCUCUGCAAGGAGAAACACCUUUUUAGAUCUUUUAGAUGCUGCUUCUUCAAUGCAAGGAAAGGAAAUAACCCCAGCGAGGUACUCUUCAGGGACACAGGUCUAGUACAAGAGAACUCUUGACACGGCUACUAAGUUCAGCCAGUCUUAAAAAACUGCGCUGUUUCUACCAAGCUUUAACUACAGUAGUUUAUAAGGAUGCCAACGAAAGCUGAGGGUGUAGAGCAAAAUAGUUCUAAGCUUCAGUUAAACUUCUUUAGGUAAGAUCUUAUUUACUUUUCCUUUCUUAAUUUUCCUCCCUAAAAGAUAAACUAAUACUCUUCAAUGGUCUUUCAGUAUAGUGGUUCUUUAUGUAGUUUAACAUAGCUAUAAAUUGAGUUUAACAAUUUAUAAACUCAAGAGAAUUUUUUAAACCCUGUUUUCCAAUCUGUCAUUUACUUAAAUUAUUUUGGUUGUUUUUCCCUUUUUUUCCUUCUUUCCCAUCCCCUCCCCCCUCCAUGAAGAUUCAGGUGCUUAACAUAUCAUUUUUUUCCCUGCUGGAAUUUUAGCAUUGAUAUGAGCCAUGGACAAGUAUAUUCUGCUGCCACAAAGACUGUAAAGUGCUUCAUUUCAACAGCUGAGGCAAGCCAAGUGAUCAUUAAUAAAGCUUUUCUUGGUUCCUUCAGUGGUGUUGGUAGUAAAAUGGAAGGUGUCUUGCUGCAGGUAACUAAUGAAGAAGUGGUCAACCACAGAGUCUUCAAGAAAUAAGAAAUUCUGUACCAUCUGAAAGUAGUUCUUGUUGGUGCCUUCAUUUAAAAAGCACUCUUUAAGAUAAAAGGGAAAUGUUUUCUGAUAAAACAAAUCUUCAUUUAGUUCAGGUUCUUGAUAGAAAACAAUUACAAAAUGAGUGUUGUUUGUAAAACAGUAACAUCAAAUCAGCUAGAGAGAUAAAUGUAUCAUGUUUUAAGUUAGGUUUUGUGAGUAGAUACAUUAAAAUUCUAUUUUAAAGUUUAUAAAAUAAAUACUUUUGUAUCUAAA